AUGCACGCUGGCGGCGUGCCUAAUACCUGCAAGUCGAGCGAACAGACGAGGAGCUUGCUCCUCUGACGUUAGCGGCGGACGGGUGAGUAACACGUGGAUAACCUACCUAUAAGACUGGGCUAACUUCGGGAAACCGGAGCUAAUACCGGAUAAUAUAUUGAACCGCAUGGUUCAAUAGUGAAAGACGGUUUUGCUGUCACUUAUAGAUGGAUCCGCGCCGCAUUAGCUAGUUGGUAAGGUAACGGCUUACCAAGGCGACGAUGCGUAGCCGACCUGAGAGGGUGAUCGGCCACACUGGAACUGAGACACGGUCCAGACUCCUACGGGAGGCAGCAGUAGGGAAUCUUCCGCAAUGGGCGAAAGCCUGACGGAGCAACGCCGCGUGAGUGAUGAAGGUCUUCGGAUCGUAAAACUCUGUUAUUAGGGAAGAACAAAUGUGUAAGUAACUAUGCACGUCUUGACGGUACCUAAUCAGAAAGCCACGGCUAACUACGUG
rnacentral:rRNA from 1 species